GACGAACGCUGGCGGCGUGCCUAAUACAUGCAAGUAGAACGCUGAAGAGAGGAGCUUGCUCUUCUUGGAUGAGUUGCGAACGGGUGAGUAACGCGUAGGUAACCUGCCUGGUAGCGGGGGAUAACUAUUGGAAACGAUAGCUAAUACCGCAUAAAAUUGAUUAUUGCAUGAUAAUUAAUUGAAAGAUGCAAUUGCAUCACUACCAGAUGGACCUGCGUUGUAUUAGCUAGUUGGUGAGGUAACGGCUCACCAAGGCGACGAUACAUAGCCGACCUGAGAGGGUGAUCGGCCACACUGGGACUGAGACACGGCCCAGACUCCUACGGGAGGCAGCAGUAGGGAAUCUUCGGCAAUGGGGGGAACCCUGACCGAGCAACGCCGCGUGAGUGAAGAAGGUUUUCGGAUCGUAAAGCUCUGUUGUAAGAGAAGAACGGGUGUGAGAGUGGAAAUUU
rnacentral:rRNA from 1 species